rnacentral:rRNA from 1 species
AUUGAACGCUGGCGGAAUGCUUUACACAUGCAAGUCGAACGGCAGCACGGACUUCGGUCUGGUGGCGAGUGGCGAACGGGUGAGUAAUGUAUCGGAACGUGCCCAGUCGUGGGGGAUAACGUAGUGAAAAUUACGCUAAUACCGCAUACGAUCUAUGGAUGAAAGCGGGGGAUCGCAAGACCUCGCGCGAUUGGAGCGGCCGAUAUCAGAUUAGGUAGUUGGUGGGGUAAAGGCCCACCAAGCCAACGAUCUGUAGCUGGUCUGAGAGGACGACCAGCCACACUGGACCUGAGACACGGUCAGGCCUCCUACGGGAGGCAGCAGUGGGGAAUUUUGGACAAUGGGCGAAAGCCUGAUCCAGCCAUUCCGCGUGCAGGAUGAAGGCCUUCGGGUUGUAGACUGCUUUUGUACAGAACGAAAAGGUUUCUACUAAUACUAGGAGCUCAUGACGGUACUGUAAGAAUAAGCACCGGCUAACUACGUGCCAGCCGCCGCCGUAA